CUAGAAUUAGCAUCUGCUGGAUCACUGACUGCAUUUCCACAGAACACAGAACAAAGCGGUUAAGAUCCAGGGCAUUGAGCCACGCCUUAAAUCGAAGCAUUGUCCACCUUCUAACCCCAAGCAGACACCAAGAGGGAGCCAACAACAGGGAUCCUGAGAGGCAAAGGGAGUCCAAGGAGCUAUGGGGAGAACUUUCCAUCUUUGGGGAUGAGAAUGUGAAGCAUCAAUUUAUGUGAAAACUACUGCUUGAUUAAAGACAAGAUUUUUGAAAGCCAUCCUGUAAAACACCCUGUCCCACACAUUGUUAAAGAUCUGGUACCUGAAACCACAGUGCCGAAAGUAGUCAAGUACGACUAUGCCUGAAGCCCAGAAGUGUGGUUUUCCACAGUGAGGAAGAUUUGCAUUGUGAAGCAGAUGUCAGAUAGAAAAAGCAAAACAGAAAUAUGAAGACAUUGUAAGAAUUUUGGGGUGAUUUCUGACCUGCUCAGUUUCCAUCAGGGCAUCCCAGGGUUUUUUGCCUUCUCAAUUUUGAACAGCAUAGCAUUUAAAUGAUCAUUUUUGUUUCUCUCCGCUGCUCCCCAAUCUAAACAACAAAAGAAGGAAUUUAACCUCAUAUCCUCGCUCUGAAAUUAGCUCUAUUGUCAAAAGAUGACAGCUGUAUCCUGAUUUCAAGAAUUUCAUGUUGGAAUAAAACAGCAUUUUUGAAACCAUUGUGUUAUUUCAAACAGAUCUGUAAUGGUCCCUGAGCAAACCAUUUUCAGAAGACUUGGGUGAGAUCACGUGAUGAUGGAGAAGGUCACCAGAGCCAGGCACCUUGUCCACACACAGGGCUUCCUUCCUCCAUGACUUAACCCAGAGAUGUAGACGGCGGGGUCAACAUUAAAUACCACAAACAGGCAAAAGAGCUUCAGACAGAAGGAUCAUCUUCCUGAAGACAAAAUAAUCAUCAUCCUUUGAGGGCAAAGUGGGCAACGUUAUGGGUAUCUUUUGUUUUGGAAUGGGACUCUACACUAUGGGAUUUCUAGUGGAGAGGACAGUUACCAGAGUCAGCACUGGAGGUAUGGGAAUUUCUAAGCUAGAGAACUGCAGUAGGGAAAAUUGAAAGAUGCUAUUUUGGGGGUCUCACUGAUAGUUAUGAAGCUUAAGUGUUUUUUCCUGGUGUCUUUUUAAGAAGCAUAUGUUAGUUGUAUGCUUUAUGAUAUAAAAAAAGAUAAAGCAUGUAUAGGUAUUUUACAGGCAGAGCAGAGAUGGGGAUAUUCUGAAUGCCCUUACCCCCCAGAAAACAAAAGUUAAGCUACAUAUAUUUUAUAAAGUAAUAGGAGAGGAUACAUCUCUAGGAAAAGUGGGGAGAUAAUGCCCAUAACGUAGCUAGGGCUCUACAUUCCCUUGUUCAAAAUCAACUAUGAUUGCAUUUUACAAUGAAGAACGCAC
rnacentral:lncRNA from 1 species